CCGUACUAACUAAACGCUAUGAUAAGAUGACGAAAACACUCAAGUAUAACCAAUUGCUUUAAAUUAAGUUUAAAUUUUAAAGUUUCAUUCGUCAGUUGUUAGUGAUCAAGCAUCUUGCAGACUGGACUGCCAUUAUCAAGAUUAUAAAGAUGGACAUCAGUCUUUUGCUCAUCUUAACUUGUUUCACUGCAGUAAUUGGAGAUGACAUUGGAUUUUUAAGUUGUGGGAAUUAUACAAUGCAACCAGUAAAAUAUGAAGAUUGGUAUGUACGGGUUGGUAGUGACGAAAAAGGAACCGUUAAAGGUUAUGAUUUCUGGUUUCUUAUUUUUAAAGAUGCUAGAUUAAACUUUGAGAGAAUAGAGGACGAUGAACCAUAUUUCUUCAUAACUACGGAACGAUGGAACGAUUGGUUUAUUUAUAUGACCGACACUUCGAAUGGUCAAGUAGAGUCGAUGAAUCAAAAACCUGGUCCUGAAGGUCAAUGGAUGGUCCAACGAGUACAAAAUGGCAAAUACACUCUGUCACCAAGGAAAUGGCCCCAAAAAUACAUGUGUAUGAGUGAUGAUACAUUUGAUUACACCGUGUUUGCCUGUGAUGAAGUUGGAACUGAUGGAAUUUUUGUCAUUAAAAAGGGAUAGUUUUUAAUAUCAGCAGCAAUUAUUAUUUUCAUAACAUCGAGAACAUUGCAUAAGCCAGAAAACGUUUUGUCAUGCAAUAGCUGAUGAAAUAUUUGUACAUAUUUUGCGGUCAUUGUUCGUCUUUUGAUUUUAAUCGUUCUGAAUUCGACGUUUGGUAUUUGUGCUUAUCAAACUUUCUAUAUAUUUUGGCUUUGGAACACCUAUUAGGGUUUGAACAGAAAGUAUUUUUCCAGAAAUCUCUAAUCGAAAGCCGAACAUAAAAAGACAAAACAUUGAGAUCAAGAUUAACAAAAUUGGGAAAACUGAGAUUAUCAAAGGGAACAUGCAGUUAUUGCCGUUAUUUGACAUUUAUCAGUAGUUGAACAGUCGUUAACCAAAUGUUCACAUACGGAUAUGAUAGAAAUCAAGCCAUAACACAGCACCGUUUUGUCAUUCUGAACAACGCUUUAGAUGUGCCAGAUUGUCUUUAAUUGUAUAUUUUCUGUUCCUUUAUUACUGCUUUGUUAUAUAAAUAUUGUCUUGCUUAUAUGAUCUGGUGUGUAUGCGUUCAAUCAUUUUACAUUAUUAGCUUUCCAAAUUUUUGGUUAUUAGAGUGCAAGAUAAAAAAAAAGCGCUUAUGUGCGCUGACGUCAUAUCACAA